rnacentral:rRNA from 1 species
GACGAACGCUGGCGGCGUGCUUAACACAUGCAAGUCGAACGGAAAGGCCCUGCUUUUGUGGGGUGCUCGAGUGGCGAACGGGUGAGUAACACGUGAGUAACCUGCCCUUGACUUUGGGAUAACUUCAGGAAACUGGGGCUAAUACCGGAUAGGAGCUCCUGCUGCAUGGUGGGGGUUGGAAAGUUUCGGCGGUUGGGGAUGGACUCGCGGCUUAUCAGCUUGUUGGUGGGGUAGUGGCUUACCAAGGCUUUGACGGGUAGCCGGCCUGAGAGGGUGACCGGCCACAUUGGUACUGAGGUACGGCCCAGACUCCUACGGGAGGCAGCAGUGGGGAAUAUUGCACAAUGGGCGGAAGCCUGAUGCAGCAACGCCGCGUGCGGGAUGACGGCCUUCGGGUUGUAAACCGCUUUCGCCUGUGACGAAGCGUGAGUGACGGUAAUGGGUAAAGAAGCACCGGCUAACUACGUG